GCUGUGCUCACCCAGCCAAGCUUCUCCUCUCAAUACGUGGGAAUCAAUCACUGUGCAGCAGCUCUUCCUCCCCGACUGGGCGGGUCUCCAAUCCUGAGUGCUUAGGGCCUUGUCUUGUGUCUAGUCACUUCCCCACUUUUCCUCCAGCCAGGCCCCGCUCACCGGUGACGUUCACCACAAUACUGGCUACACGCCAGGUCUGCUGCUCCCGGGAGCCCUAUUUUCUUGAAGGACUGGGCACACUCUCCCUGCUUGCCAUUCCCUCAGACCCUAAGGUUGUGGAGCUUGGGACUGAGAACCCUCAGUGUAUUUUGCUUGCCCUCCGGUAGCCACGCCCCCGGGAGCUGGUACAAGAGACCUCAGUUUUCAGCGCUGGUGGGAGCGGUAGCCGGGGGUCCAGUUUGUUCCCUUUGCUGGGUGACCGAUGCAACGGGUGGGUACUGACCGGCUCUCCCAAGCCCCAUCUCAAUCCUGUGGCCACUGCCUAUGAAGGCUCGGUUGGCAUUAACCUCCGCAGGUUCAGAAGGGCCUACCAGUUGUUUCAGUGGGAUCGUUUAGUGCUGAGUCACAGUGGUUUGUCUGCGAGCGCAGGCGAACGGUAGCCUGAAUUCAGCCGAUCCAGGCUCAAUGUGUGUUCUGAGAGGCACAGACUGUUCGCCCCAGAUCCGCGUUAACUCAGCAUUGCCUAGUGAUCCUGAGCAAACGGCAUUUAGAUGGUUUAAGACUCCCUAUGUCCACGCAGCUGAAGA
rnacentral:lncRNA from 1 species